rnacentral:rRNA from 1 species
GCUCAGGAUGAACGCUGGCGGCGUGCUUAACACAUGCAAGUCGAGCGAGAAAAGUUCUUCGGAGCUUUUCUAGCGGCGGACGGGUGAGUAACACGUGGGCAACCUGCCUCAUAGAGGGGAAUAGCCUUCCGAAAGGAAGAUUAAUACCGCAUAACAUUGUUGAAAGGCAUCUUUUAACAAUCAAAGGAGCAAUCCGCUAUGAGAUGGGCCCGCGGCGCAUUAGCUAGUUGGUGAGGUAACAGCUCACCAAGGCGACGAUGCGUAGCCGACCUGAGAGGGUGAUCGGCCACAUUGGAACUGAGACACGGUCCAGACUCCUACGGGAGGCAGCAGUGGGGAAUAUUGCACAAUGGGGGAAACCCUGAUGCAGCAACGCCGCGUGAGUGAUGAAGGUCUUCGGAUUGUAAAGCUCUGUCUUUAGGGACGAUAAUGACGGUACCUAAGGAGGAAGCCACGGCUAACUACGUGCCAGCAGCCGCGGUAAUACGUAGGUGGCAAGCGUUAUCCGGAUUUACUGGGCGUAAAGGGAGCGUAGGCGGAUAUUUAAGUGGGAUGUGAAAUACCCGAGCUUAACUUGGGAGCUGCAUUCCAAACUGGAUAUCUAGAGUGCAGGAGAGGAGAAUGGAAUUCCUAGUGUAGCGGUGAAAUGCGUAGAGAUUAGGAAGAACACCAGUGGCGAAGGCGAUUCUCUGGACUGUAACUGACGCUGAGGCUCGAAAGCGUGGGGAGCAAACAGGAUUAGAUACCCUGGUAGUCCACGCUGUAAACGAUGAAUACUAGGUGUAGGGGCCCCAAGCCUCUGUGCCGCCGCUAACGCGUUAAGCAUCCCACCUGGGGAGUACGCCGGCAACGGUGAAACUCAAAGGAAUUGACGGGGGCCCGCACAAGCGGAGGAACAUGUGGUUUAAUUCGAUGAUACGCGAGGAACCUUACCCGGGCUCAAACGACAGCGGACAGCUCCCGAAAGGGGGUCUCCGGCAACGGCCGCUGUCGAGGUGCUGCAUGGUUGUCGUCAGCUCGUGCCGUGAGGUGUCGGCUUAAGUGCCAUAACGAGCGCAACCCUUGUCAUUAGUUGCCAGCAGUAAGAUGGGCACUCUAGUGAGACUGCCGGGGAUAACUCGGAGGAAGGUGGGGAUGACGUCAAAUCAUCAUGCCCCUUAUGUUCUGGGCUACACACGUGCUACAAUGGCCGGUACAGAGAGAAGCCAGACCGCGAGGUGGAGCAAAACUCAAAAGCCGGUCCCAGUUCGGAUUGCAGGCUGCAACUCGCCUGCAUGAAGUCGGAGUUGCUAGUAAUCGCAGAUCAGAAUGCUGCGGUGAAUGCGUUCCCGGGUCUUGCAC